UUAAUUUGAGUUUCUUUAUUUUUUUUAAAAUUUAACUUCGAGUCGAUAGUUUUACGGGAAAAAUGUCUAGAAAUCAAGAAUUAGUCGAAGGAUUUCCGACUACUAAACAGAUGGCUGCUGGGGUACUUCAGUCACCUCUGGCCUCUGUAAUUUCUAAAGAGUGGGAAGAUCGCAUUGCAACUGUAGAUGGUAGUGAAUAUGGACAGCCACGAUUAACCAAGGGUUCUGAAGAGUGGUCUGAUCCUAUUGAAAAUUUUGGGAUUAUGAAUGCUGCUCCGUACAAUUGGUGGAUUGUGAAGGAUAAACAACACCAAUUUGCUAAGCAAAUAGAAAUUUUUUACGGUAUAUACGAAAGGGAUGGGUACUGGUGUCGUAUGCCGGUUUCCGAAGACAGAAUCCAUAGACCUCCGCAGGGGUAUGUCGGUGUAUAUACGAGGCAACUAGAGUUUGGCCUGAGGUUCCCUCUCCACCCUUUUGUCAUCCAAUUGCUAAAUGGAUAUAACAUCUCAUUGUGCCAACUUACUCCGGACAGUAUCCGAAGGAUAAUGACAUUCUUAUGGGUUGCCCUUUUUUAUGGGUUCAAACCUAGCAUUCACGUAUUUAGGAAGUUGCACGAUUUGUUGCCGGUUAAUCAACUUGAUAAUCUACACGGUUCAGGAUGGUGGCAGAUUGAACCCCGAAAAUGGUUCAUGACGUCUUGGCCCAAUGACUCCUGAUGAAAAUUGGAGGGGUCAAUGGAUUUGGGUGAGGGCUCCGCCUGAAGAAGAACAUAUGAACUACUAUGGGGCGCCGAGAAAUCUGAGAAAGCCUGAUAACGGCAUGUGUGCUGCCGGACUUGAUGAAAUGUUGGCUGUUGAUAUGCAGCUACUGAAAUUGAUUGGGAGGAAAGUUACAGCAAGACGAGGUCGAGAACAAGAAUUUCCAGCAACAUGGUUACCUUGUAAUCACUAUAUCUUCCAAGAGCAUAUUUUAGCCGCAGUCGGCCUCAGCCGAAAAUUCCAAAUGGUACUACACGAAGCCAACUGUGGUUUGGACUACAAACGAUUGGGGAUAGGUGUUGAACGACGUGUGACGAGGAGUGCACCACCAGUCACUCCUGUAUCCAAAAGGGCCCUUUCGCUGUGUGUUUCUAGGUUGGACAUAGUCGAACCUGAGGAAUAUUAGAGACAUAAACCUUGGUAUCUAAAACGAGAUCCAUAUUUUCGUUUGGGUCCCGAAGAGGUAAUUGUUGCUGCUGAUGCUGCAUGUGUUGCUGGUGUUGUCGUGAGAACCGAGAAUUUAACAGAAAUUUCUGGAGCGAAUAAGGCUAUAGUUUCAGAAGGAAACGAGUUGUCUACAACUCUGAUUGAUGACAUGGCUAGAAAAAGAACAAGUCGAGCUGUCAUUAGACCAGGACAAUUUCCUCUAGAGGAGUCGUCUCCUUCUCCUAAGAGGGUUCGGUUGAAUGAGGGUUCAUCUGAGGUGGGGAUUAAGGAGACUCCAGCCUCCUUCCUUGCUCUGAACCGAGAGACGCCAGUUCCUAUUCCGGUCUAUAGUCGAGAAGAGGAGGUUCAGCAGGAAUUGGUACCUGUGUAUUUUGAUCUGUCCCAGCAUACGUCGGGGCAUUUUGCAAAUGAUAUUCAAAGAGAAACUGAUGCUUUAAUCUCAUGUGAUGUGAACGAUGGUGGGGAGAAUUUUAACAGGGAUUCGGAUUGUCUGAAGGAGGGUUAAAGGUGUGUUGAAGUGCCUCCCCAGGAAGAUGUUCCGUCCGUUUCGGGAGUAGAAUCAAUCAGAACAUUUCGCUCCAAUGAGAUGGGAUUUGAUUAUGCACCCCUUGUGGAUGUUCGUUCUUGGUGCUGUCAGGGACAUGUUUUUAAAGAGCCGACAAUCGGCUAUUGAUUUUUUUGGAAACUUAACGGGUCUAUUAGAACUAGUACGGGCCAAAAUUUGGUCAACUCGGGCUGCUGCUAGAGCGGCCGAACCGUUUGAUAAAGUGCUGGAUCCUAUUGCCGAAAUUUACAGAUUACUGAUGCUGUUCAUAACCAUGUACUUACUGCUUGUUUGAACGAGGAGUUAAAGGAAAAGCUUAAGACCUCCGAGCAUCGGGCUGAAAUGACGGAAUUGAAGAAAAAAACUGCUGAGGCUUCUCUUUUGGAGAGCUAAUCUGAGCUAAAUCAAACAAAAGAAACUCUGCGUAACUUCUGUCAAGCACUUGAGCAAUUCUUCUUCCCUCAAAUAGAGCAAGGUGAACAGCUGAUGCGUUUCUACGGAGCUAAUAAUGUUGCAGAAUUAAAAGCUCGGAUACAGGAUAGAUUUCAACAAGAGAUGUCGGUUAGAGAGCAAGUUGCUAAAGAAUUGAAUGACAAGAUUGAACUGGUUAAAAAAGAGGCUGAUAAAAAGGAGUCUGAUUUGAAAACGGAAAUUAAGCGCCUCAAUGAUUUGAUCUCAACUAAAGAUCAAAACCUGUUGGAUGCCAAAAAAAAGCUUACGGCUGAAAAGGACUCUGUUGCCAAAAGAUAGGGCUGAUUUGGUUGAUGCAAGACAGCAGCUGAAAACGCGCAUUUACACCCGAGAGCAAUAUGAUGAGGGUUAUGAAAAUGGAUUCAAGAUUGCUCGUCGCCUUGCAAUUCAUCUUGAGCCAAAUAUUAAUUGGGACGAGGCUGAAAAAUGGUCUAUGGACAUUGAUCACCCAAAAAUGCGGCAUCCACACCCCAACGAGGUUGCUUUACUUCAUCGGUUGGCUAAUCAGGAAGCGUUGGAAGAAGAUACCGAUGGUGAAGAGGAGGAUGAACCACAGGGUGACAAGAUUGCCAAAUCUGCAUCAUCCGUUGCUGCUAACAUUACGGCUGUUCCUGACACUGACGCAGUGAACGCUGGAGCAUAGGAAUUCGGGCAGUCGUCCGCGGAAUCUUGCGGAUCUACAUGUUCGUGAAAGCUGAAUAUUCGCUUCUACUCUUUUGCCUUUUUGUUUCAGCUGGCCAUAUGUGCAUAAAACUCUUAUUAGUUUCUGUUUGAGAAAGUGCUUGGUUCGGCGGCUGUAUCUUCCGCUUGUGGGCGGCUGCCGAUUAGUGACUUCUUUUCUUUUCUUUUUUUCCAGAAUGUUAUUUAUGCUACAUGGAAUCAUCCUUAGUGCCAAAUUUUAGCUCGGUGAUUCAGAUUACGAAUGCUUUUUUCUUACUGUCUUUUCCAAUCAUUUUUUGUUUAUUAUUUUAGUUUAAAAAUUAAAAUAUGAAAUCAUUCUCUUCGUAUGUUAUUAGUUCUUAGUUUUUGAUAUUAUGAAGUAAAAACAAUUUCGGUUGAACAUCUAACUACCUGGUUUAGGAUUUAUUUUAACUUGAAUAUUUGCACUCAAAUGUU